AGAAGAAAUUUUAUUGAUUUAUCUGAAUUCUGUGUCUCUGUGUAUUUCUUUCUGAGAUUUCUGCAACAUUUGGUGUGUUGGCCGGGAAUCGGGAAUGAAAUAGCCCUUUUGGGCAUUGGCCAGAACCCCACAGGAGGGAGCGGCUCUCUGUUUCCUCGAGAGGAAAGGUGCGCCCCUGGGACUAAUUUUCUAGGCUCUCCAACAGGACACAGAGAUCCACUCACCAUUGGAGGUUUGCCUGAACCUGAGAAGGAAACUACAGAAGGAGGACUGCUGCUCUUGGUGUCUCAUCUGUCUCUUUCCUUUGCUGGAUGGGAGCAGCUUCGUGGAAGAUGGGGUUCGUCAUGCUGGAUAUGUGGUAACCAUGAAGGAUGAAGUGGUCCUAGCCAGGGCUGUUGGUGCAAUAUGCUAAGUUCUGGGCACUUAUACAGGCACUCCAAUGGGCAAAGGGUAAAAAAGGUCUGCUGUAGUUCUGUCUCCUACCUUGAAUUUACUGCUGUGACCUCUGUGGAAUACAUCAUAGAUCAAGAAUGGCUGUUAAUGUCUGUCUCUAGCAAUGGGACCUAACUUUGAGAACUUAAUGCAAUAUAGUUUACUGCUGUUGUGUUAGGCAAUUCUGGGCUAAGUGUAUACUCAUGCCCCAUAAUAAACAAUUUUGAGAUGAAAGAUGCUUUGUGCUAAACACUUCUGUGACCAGAAAUGCCUAAUUUAGAUGAUGUGCUUCAGGAAAUAUUCUUGGAAUA